AUUCCAGCUCCAAUAGCGUAUAUUAAAGUUGUUGCGGUUAAAAAGCUCGUAGUUGGAUUUCUGUCGAAAAUGGGCGGUCCUCACUACGUGGGUGUAUUGUUUCAGUUUCGGCAUCCUCAUGGGGAACGUUGCUGCGCUUGAUUGCGUGGCGCGGUAUCCAUGACUUUUACUUUGAGGAAAUUAGAGUGUUCACGGCAGGCAAUCGCCUUGAAUAUAUUAGCAUGGAAUAAUAAUAUAGGAUCUUGGUUCUAUUUUGUUGGUUUCUAGAGCUAAGAUAAUGAUUAAUAGGGAUAAUUGGGGGUCUUUGUGUCAUGGCGUCAGAGGUGGAAUUCUUGGAUUGCCAUGCGACAAACUACUGCGAAAGCAUUGACCAAGGAUGUUUUCAUUG
rnacentral:rRNA from 1 species